GAUGAACGCUAGCUACAGGCUUAACACAUGCAAGUCGCGGGGCAGCAUGGGGGUUGCUUGCCAUCACCGAUGGCGACCGGCGCACGGGUGAGUAACGCGUAUGCAACCUGCCCUUCACCGCGGGAUAACCCGGCGAACGUCGGACUAAUACCGAUUGGUCUCCCUUGACGGAACCCGAUUUGUUCGGAAGUCGUGGCGUUGAGUGAUGGGGAUGCGUGCGAUUAGCUAGGCGGCGGGGUGACGGCCCACCGUGGCGACGCUCAGUAGGUGUUCUGAGAGGAAGGUCCACCGCAAUGGAACUGCGACCCGGUCCAGAAUGCUACGCGACGCAGCAGUGAGGAAUAUUGGUCAAGGGGCGUAGGCCUGACCCAGCCAAGUAGCGUGCAGGGUGACGGCGCUAUGGGUUGUAAUCUGCUGUUAUACGGGGAUAACGUGGUAAACGCGUGCGCUUUUGACGGUACCGAAUGAAUAAGCACCGGCUAACUCCGUG
rnacentral:rRNA from 1 species